GGAAUGUGGCUCAGUGGCAGAGCACUUGCCUCACAAGUAUGAGGCACUAGGUUUGAUCCUCAGCACCA
rnacentral:tRNA from 1 species